rnacentral:rRNA from 1 species
UACAGAGGGGCAAGCGUUAUUCGGAAUUAUUGGGCGUAAAGGGCGCGUAGGCGGCCUCCUAAGUCAGACGUGAAAUCCCUCGGCUCAACCGGGGAACUGCGUCUGAUACUGGGAGGCUUGAAUCCGGGAGAGGGAUGUGGAAUUCCAGGUGUAGCGGUGAAAUGCGUAGAUAUCUGGAGGAACACCGGUGGCGAAGGCGGCUCUCUGGGCCUUACCUGACGCUGAGGAGCGAAAGCGUGGGUAGCGAACAGG